GGAGAUUUUUCUCUAAUUGUGAAGAAACUGCCAGAUGUACUUUUUUUUUUUUUGGCCUCCUCCAGUUCUUCCAGAAGCCCAAGGAAGUUCCAAAGCCCUCUGAAGCCUUGAAGAGACUCUGGGAUCCAGAUGUGUCUCUAGGCAGCAAGUCUGAGGAAACUUUUAGCUGGUAAGCUCUAGGAUGCAGAGCUCUUGAGGUGGGUAGGGUAGGGCUCACUGCUGAUAUCAAUGCAAUGCUUUAGAAGCUUUCCUGUACUGCACCAAGGGUACCUUCUAGGCUCCAAUACCCUUACAAUUCAUACUCAUUGGUACUGAGUCCCUUACUUUGAGCCAUAUACAAAUCUAUUUCUCUCCACAUCUCUGAUCAUCCUCACCUCUUGAUCCAAUACUCAUUCUCCCAUUGCCUCUUCCCCUACCCUUCAGACUUGGCAUUGCUUCUCUAGAUAGGAACUUCUUUCCCUCCCUAAAUGCUAUAUAGAAUCUUGAUGUAGAGUCACUCUCUUAACCACAGUUCAUAAACCAAUCAUUCGAGUCUGGCCCAGCCCCUGGAACCUGAUGCCUCAAGAUUUCUCAACAUGAGCAUCAUUUCCUUUGAAUUUGCUGUGACCCCUUAUCAGGAUAUAAAUAUCAUAACAUUGGUAUAGAUCUAUCAAGCCUUUGUGUAAGUCCCUUAGUCUCAUACCUAACCUAGGUAAACUGAAUUGAGAUGCUUUCUUCUCGUGCACGUUCUGUACUGUACUUACUGUUUGUUUGUGGGAGAGUGGCUUCUCUUUCAGUAUGCUUCCCCUAAGUAUCCCAGCAUUAAUACUUGUAUCAGUUAUGAGAAAUUAGGUUAUGCUGCAGUAAUAAAGGACCCCAAAACACUAAUUUAUUAGAAUAUUAAAGUAUUAUUUCAACACACUCAACAUGUCUAACUUGGAUUUGCUGUGAUUCUGUUCCAUGUCAUCCUCAUCUCAAGAUUCCAGCUGAUGGAGUAGCUUCUAUUUGGAACAUUGCCAUCAUUUGGGGAAACCAAAUCGUGUGUCCAUGUUUCCUUCAACAAGAUAGGAAUGUAUAACUCUCCCACAAAGAAGGGGCCUUGCAGGGUAGGUUACCAAAUGCAAAUGAGCAGUAAUGUGAUCUGCCACAUAUAGAAGCAGGUUGCUACAACUAUAGGAAAGACUCUAACGCAGACUUAGAAAUUCUUCAGAUUCCUAAUGCAAGAAGCUCAACUUCUGGCUUUCCAUAUCUCCAAAUUACACAAAAAGUGGUAAAAUCCAGUGAUUCACAAAUUGUAGUUUUUAAGUCAAUAGGGAGGUAGGUUUGCACCUCAUUUUUUAAAGAAUCCUUAUUUCAGAAUCUCUUUGACAAAGGAUAGUGACUAUUAGAGGGA
rnacentral:lncRNA from 1 species